GUAUUCGCUUCAGCAGCACACAUACUAAAAUUGGAAUGAUAUGGAGAUUAGUACGGUCCCUGCGCAAGGAUAACAUGCAAAUUAGUGAAGUGCUCCAUAUUAAA